ensembl:lncRNA
ACCAUCCACUCUAACGGAACCCCCUUUCUACGUUAUUCUCCGUGCACAUUAUUUUUUUUCUGUCACUGGGGGCCCACUUUCCCCGCCCACUCCCCUAAUUUUAGCUUGAAACUAGAAUAGCGGAGCCAAGAAAUAGUUAAUCCAGGGCUGCUUUUAUGAUUGGCCGCUGUAUACAGCGCUUGAGCCACCUUGAAUGAGAGACAGGGGUAACUAGGCAACUUCAGCGGCGGUAAAAUAAUUUUUAAAAUAAGAUAAAAAAAUAAGAUAUGUCCACGAAACACUGAAAUAGUAAAAUUGUCGAAAAAUGAGAGGCGACCCAAUGUGAUUUUAUUGCGUGCGUGUCCGGCAAAUGGAAUUAAGGAAUGGAUUUUUUUGUCUCUAAGAAGCGAAAACAGAUCGCGCAAACGAACCGGAACCUGAUUUGGAUUAAAACGGUUAAACUGGAAAUUUCAGCAUAGCUGUCAUAUGAAAGGUGCUAAUGGAGGGAGGGACAGAGAUGUACAACAGACGGACAGUCUCUGAAGUGUCCUACCAAAGAGGAAUACCAGUACUCAACCUGGACUAAAGAAUAAUACAGUACUACAACAACAACCCAUGUGUUCUCUUUGGAAGGAAGAAUUCACCAAUCACUAAGUGGGAUCUGCACUAAAGAGCAAUAGAGGGACCAUGUAAUACUUGUCCUAAUUUGAGGAACAUCUAGCCACCAUGUUAGAACUAGUCUGAAGCAGAAGGACCGCUACAACAUCUACCUGUCAUCAGCUCUACCAGGAUGGGUCCAAAUUGAAGGAGAUCUGAACCCCUGGAUCUCUUCACCAAAGAGGAAUAACACCAGGCUUCUCACCAUGGACUUGGAGGAAAACUCUGUCCUAGACCUGGAGUAGAGGGAGUAGUGGCUCUGUCCUAGACCUGGAGCAGAGGGAGUAGUGGCUCUGUCCUAGACCUGGAGUAGAGGGAGUAGUUGCUCUGUCCUAGACCUGGAGCAGAGAGAGUAGUGGCUCUGUCCUAGACCUGGAGCAGAGGGAGUAGUGGCUCUGUCCUAGACCUGGAGCAGAGGGAGUAGUGGCUCUGUC